CCUACGGGUGGCAGCAGUAGGGAAUAUUGCUCAAUGGGCGAAACCCUGAAGCAGCAACGCCGCGUGAACGAUGAAGGCUUUCGGAUUGUAAACUCCUUUCCUUAGGGAAGAUAAUGACGGUAUUUGACGAGUAAGCCCCGGCUAACUACGUGCCAGCAGCCGCGGUAAUACGUAGGGUGCUAGCGUUAUCCGGAAUUACUGGGCGUAAAGAGCGCGUAGGUGGGUUCUUAAGUCAGAAGUGAAAAGGUACGGCUUAACCAUAGUAAGGCCUUUGAAACUGGUAACCUGGAGUGUGGGAGAGGUAGGUGGAAUUCUUGGUGUAGGGGUAAAAUCCGUAGAGAUUAGGAGGAAUACUAGUUGCGAAGGCGGCCUUCUGGAACGUAACUGACGCUGAGGCACGAAAGCGUGGGGAGCAAACAGGAUUAGAUACCCGUGUAGUC
rnacentral:rRNA from 1 species